UGUGUGAGUGGUGUUCAUUUCUAGCCCUUCUAAUAGGUGUAAAACUUUCUCUUCAAAUACUAAAUUAUAGGCACUUGGACAGGGUUGCUGAACAUUUUGAUAUUGGUACAUUGUAUAAGUUUCUCCUGGAUAGCUAGAUUUAUAAUCAACUGUUGGUUGUGAUGCCUAGGAAAAAAUUAGAUGGUUUCCCUAACCCAGAUUGUAGGUGUUAGCAAAAAGAUUGGGACGAGCAGUUUAGAUUUGGGUUUGGUAAGUUUGCUCAUGUGCAAACUCUUAGGAUCGAUAUGCGGCUAGAUUUUUACUAACC
rnacentral:lncRNA from 1 species